ACUCGAGUGGCGAACGGGUGAGUAACACGUGGGUGAUCUGCCCUGCACUUCGGGAUAAGCCUGGGAAACUGGGUCUAAUACCGGACAGGACGAUGGUUUGGAUGCCAUUGUGGAAAGUUUUUCGGUGUGGGAUGAGCUCGCGGCCUAUCAGCUUGUUGGUGGGGUAAUGGCCUACCAAGGCGUCGACGGGUAGCCGGCCUGAGAGGGUGUACGGCCACAUUGGGACUGAGAUACGGCCCAG
rnacentral:rRNA from 1 species